rnacentral:tRNA from 1 species
GGGAAGGUAGCUCAGUGGUAGUGCGGUUGCCUUGCAUGCAUGAGGCCCUGGGUUCAAUUCUCAGCACCA